GAUGAACGCUGGCGGCGUGCCUAAUACAUGCAAGUCGAGCGAACAGACGAGGAGCUUGCUCCUCUGACGUUAGCGGCGGACGGGUGAGUAAAACGUGGAUAACCUACCUAUAAGACUGGGAUAACUUCGGGAAACCGGAGCUAAUACCGGAUAAUAUAUUGAACCGCAUGGUUCAAUAGUGAAAGACGGUUUUGCUGUCACUUAUAGAUGGAUCCGCGCCGCAUUAGCUAGUUGGUAAGGUAACGGCUUACCAAGGCAACGAUGCGUAGCCGACCUGAGAGGGUGAUCGGCCACACUGGAACUGAGACACGGUCCAGACUCCUACGGGAGGCAGCAGUAGGGAAUCUUCCGCAAUGGGCGAAAGCCUGACGGAGCAACGCCGCGUGAGUGAUGAAGGUCUUCGGAUCGUAAAACUCUAUUAUUAGGGAAGAACAAAUGUGUAAGUAACUAUGCACGUCUUGACGGUACCUAAUCAGAAAGCCACGGCUAACUACGUG
rnacentral:rRNA from 1 species